rnacentral:rRNA from 1 species
UACGUGGGGUGCGAGCGUUGUCCGGAAUUACUGGGCGUAAAGAGCUCGUAGGUGGUUUGUCGCGUUGUUCGUGAAAUCUCACGGCUUAACUGUGAGCGUGCGGGCGAUACGGGCAGACUAGAGUACUGCAGGGGAGACUGGAAUUCCUGGUGUAGCGGUGGAAUGCGCAGAUAUCAGGAGGAACACCGGUGGCGAAGGCGGGUCUCUGGGCAGUAACUGACGCUGAGAAGCGAAAGCAUGGGUAGCAAACAGG